rnacentral:sRNA from 1 species
UUAAUUACAAGAUAUAAAAAUCGUGUUGAAAUCUACCGAUACCCAAAUUUUACUAAAAACUAAAAACCAAAUAAUAGUUCCAAGUGGUUUACAUUUGGACAAAAACAAGACCGUAAGCUUCAAGCUAC